GUCCCAAGAUGGCGUCGUGGCUGCCGGAGACUCUGUUUGAAAUUGUAGGACAAGGCCCAGCGCCGAGCAAAGACUAUUACCAGUUGUUGAUCACCCGGACUCAGGCAAGUGAGAGCCAUAGCUUCCUGUCUCUCCUGACCCCUUCCCCGCCCAGCAGGGCCACCCGAUGGGGGCCGCUCCAGGCAAACAGCCACCGUGGCCUGCCGGAAGCGCCGCGUCUCUCAGCUCCCAGCCAGAGAUCUUCCCUCGUCACCUCUGCUCGGCGGCCCGAGAGUCCGUUCUCUCCCCAAGGCGGGCUCGUCCCUGGCGAGCCUUCCUUGUCUCCCCACAAAUGCCGUCCGCUCCCCCUCCUGCCUCCCGGCCUCCUACCCGCUGCGUUCGCUCCGCGCGCCGAAGACAAACAGGCGUCCCUGCUUGCGUGCCGCUCACCUCAGCGUGGGAAGGAGGGAAAGAAAGACUCAGCUAAGUGUCCCGAGGAGGAGCCGGCAGGGGGAGAAAGGGACGGUCUCUUCCAGAGUAGGACUUAAUCCCCAAGAACCUCUCGCUUCGGCCUUUACAAUUACCGCACCAAAACUCCUCUUUUUAGAAGGAAUGGCUGACCGAAGGGUUUCCCCUUACCUUGUUGGAGCCUCUUCUAUCCCAUUGAAAGUGUGUGGGGGGGCAGGGGAUACAAAAAAAAAAUGUUUCAGCUGCUCAGCCCAUCAGCCCCACCCAUCAUGACAUCUGCUCCACAACAAUAAGAAGCCGGAUUAUGUUAUCGCUGGAGUAAAGUAACCCCGGGGGCUUUUUUUUUUUUUUCCAAGUGUUUUGGUUGUCAGGGGGUGGGCUUCAGAUAAUGUGUUGUGCCGGUGAAAUGCACUGGUGGAGCUGGGCGUCCGCUGAACACGUAGCAGCUUCCUGGCCAAGCUUAUCCUGGUCAUUAGCUGUUCAUGCACCCCAUAUUUUAAGUAGGCCAUAUUCCUAUAAAAGUAAGUUUAAAACCUUGUGUUUAUUUGAGUCUAGGCACUGAUUAUCCCAUCUUUUUCCUGGAGCCCUUAAACAAAAGAGUAACAAACUAAUUUCUUUUACCUGUAAAACAGUAAUAAUGUGCGCAUUCACUUUAUGGAAGACCCAGAAAGACUGUAAAUGUAGCACCCUGUCAGUUAGGCCUUUUUUUUUUUUAAACUCCUUUGAAAUUUUUUUGACAAUUAGGAUUGUGAAGGUUCGGUUUGGUUUUGUAUGUGAGGUGGGCUUUGUUUUUGUUUUGUUUUUGAUCAGAUUGUUUUGUUUUGUUUUGCUUUGCUUUGAAAUAAGAGUCUUACUAUGUAGCCCUGGGUGGUGACCUAGAACCAAGGUGUAGACUAAACUGUGGCUCGAAGCUUGAGAAAUCCACCUGCCUCUGCCUCCAGAAUUAGGCAUUACACCCAGCUAGAGAGGUGGGGCUUUUGUUGAGUCCUUUGUUUUGUUUGGGUUGACUUGAGUUGAUUUCUCCUUUUCUCUCCGGCUCUGUGAGGGGUGAACCUAGAGCUUGGUAGACAAUUUUACCACUGACCACACACACACACACACACACACACACACACACACACACCUAUUAGCUUUAAGAUCUGUGAUCCUGAUAAUUCUUCACUCUUCAUAUGACUGAUCUAAGAUGUAGUAACCUUUUGGGUUCUGUUUUUCCACGUUCAUCUAUUGCAAGUUCCGAUGGUGUUGAUUUUUACUUUACAGUCUUUCCUGUAUCUUUAAAAUUGCUCUUUUGAAGUUUUUCCCUUCUAGGUCUUAUCACAGGAGGCUUCUCUCUCCCUCCCCGUCCCAUCUCUCUGGUGUUUUAAACCAAAACAAAUUGACAGUAUCUGUCUACAUACCACCCUCCAACUAAUUUGCUAUAUGAAAACUUCCAUCAAAUUCUUAACUUUUGUUUUCUUUUUUUUUUUUUUAAAGACAGGGCACCCUGUAGCCCGGGACAUCUUGAACUCCUUACCAUCCUGCCUCUACCUCCCAAGCUCUGAGAUAAUAAGCUAGAGAUACAUAAUGAGGCCUAUCUCAAAAAUUAAAUUAUUUUUAAAGAUUUAUUUUAUUUAUUUCAUGUAUACAUUGCUCUCUUCAGACACACCAGAAGAGGGCAUCAGAUCCCAUUACAGAUGGCUAUGAGCCACCAUGUGGUUACUGGGAAUUGAACUCAGGACCUUUAGAAGAACAAUCAGUGCUCUUAACCACUGAGCCCCUAAUCCAUUUUCUUUAUCAAGUACACUACAGCUCUGCAAAUAAAAGUUCCGCUCAAAUCUGAAUACGUUGACCUCUUUUCAAAAUAAAUUUGUUGUAAAAAUUUUUUUUUAGUCUUGAAAUAUACUAUGUGUAAUAUACUAUACAGAUAUACAGGAUAGUUUUUUCUUUUUCUUACUUUUUUGUAAGAUUUAUUUAUUUUAUGUAAGUACAUUGUAGCUGUCUUCAGACAGCUACCAAAAUAGGGCAUGAGAUCUCAUUACGGCUGGUUGUGAGCCACCAUGUGGUUGCUGGGAUUUGAACUUCGGACCUUCAGAAGAGCAGUCCGGUGCUCUUAUCCACUGAGCCAUCUCACCAGCCCAGUUUUUCUAAGUACAAGAAACUGAAUACCUAGUAAGAGAUAACCUGGCAUAAGUAUUUAAAAUAGUAAAAUCUGUGUUCUAUAGUCCACUCUGGAAAAAGCCAGACCCACUCUAUGGAAUGGACUGUACUUUCUCUUGAUGUGUCUCUCUUCUGUGUUGAUAUCCAGUUUAACCCAUAUCAAAACCUUUUGGUGGUGCAGGCCUUUAAUCUCAGGAGGCAGAGGCAGAUGAAUCUCUGUGAGUUUGAGGCCAGCCUAGUCUACAGAGAAACCCAGUGGGGGGUUCUUCCAGGUGUAGUGAGUGGCACAUAUUGUGUAAGCCCAGUACAUGGUAGACAGAAGGAAGCAAGACCAUAUAAAGUUCCAGGAUAGACAGUGCAAUGUAGAGAGAACCUGUCUCU
rnacentral:lncRNA from 1 species